AGGAUUGGCCGCGUUAUUGGCAAGGGAGGGGGUUCAAUCAAAAGUGUGAGACAGGCCAGUGGUGCUCGUAUUGAGGUUGAUGAUAAGGCUGAUUGUGAUGAAUGUAUCAUCUCCAUCACCUCAACAGAGUCCAUGGAUGACAUGAAAUCCAUAGCAGUUGAAGCGGUUUUAUUGCUGCAAGGGAAGAUAAAUGACGAAGAUGAUGACACUGUAACUAUCCAGCUUCUUGUUCCAUCUAAAGUUAUUGGUUGUAUAAUUGGAAAAAGUGGUUCAAUCAUAAAUGAGAUGGCUUAGGCAUGCUUUCUUUAGGCAGCCUUUAUGGAUAUGGAUCUUUAUCAAUGGGAGACAAUGGCUAUGGAUCUUUGUCUUCAUACUCGUCAAAGAUGUAUGGAGGGUUAGUAUUAUUAUGGCCAUGAGUUUUUUACUAUAUUGAAAGACUCUUCAAUAACUCUCAUUUUGGGCGAAAUUAAAGAUGGCUGCAGAAAAGAAGGUGGGUGCAGCAAAGGCAAAACAAUUUUGCAAGGCUUUUCAAAGCAUUCACAAGAAACUUGUGUAUGAAGAAAUGAGUUUAGAUGCUGCCAGGAGUUUUUUGAGCCCACCUAAAAGUUAUGGAGAAUAGUUUCUUGCCUCCUGAAUUUUCUUGUUAUUCUGUUUCUGGUGGAUGUUUUACUUGGAGAGAGAGACAGAGAGAGAGAGAGAGAGACAGAGAUUGUAGUUCAAAUUGAAGUAGUUCAUGUUGCAAAUUUGAUUUUGAUUUAUGUUAUUUAAAUUUGUGAACAACAUUAUGUAUGUAUUAUGCGACAUUAUGUAGUGGUAUAAUUUUUAUUGUUAUGAAUUUUUAUUUAUGUAUUGUUA